GGACAUUGGCAUCCAAUCAGCAUUUAGGUCAUCGGGGGCGGGUCCUGGACCAGCAACAGCCAAUGACAGCACAGAAGGGAAGUUAGGCGUGGGAAAGCGACGCCAGCGGGGGGCGUUCCCAGGUCUCCGCGGGAGCCUGAAAAAUGAGGUCACAAAUCCGGUAGGGAAACUCUGACAGCUGUCAGGAAGGAGGCUAUUGAAUUCGUUGGAGAAUGAGUGCUGUCCCAAACUUGGAACCAAGACAUUGAUACCUGCUUGUGCGGAAACUCUGCAGUCCCUGUCUGAAAAGCUUCACCCCUUUCUUACUAAGGUCA